CGGAGGGCUAGCGUUGUUCGGAAUUACUGGGCGUAAAGCGCACGUAGGCGGCUUUGUAAGUUAGAGGUGAAGCCUGGAGCUUAACUCCAGAACUGCCUUUAAGACUGCAUCGCUUGAAUCCAGGAGAGGUGAGUGGAAUUCCGAGUGUAGAGGUGAAAUUCGUAGAUAUUCGGAAGAACACCAGUGGCGAAGGCGGCUCACUGGACUGGUAUUGACGCUGAGGUGCGAAAGCGUGGGAGCAAACAGGAUU
rnacentral:rRNA from 1 species